rnacentral:rRNA from 1 species
AACCUUUACAAUGCACGAAAGUGUGAUAGGGGGAUACUCAGUGCUUACGUUUAUGACGUAGGCUUUUGUCGAUCGUAAACAGAUCGGCGAAUAAGUGGUGGGUAAGACCGGUGCCAGCCGCCGCGGUAACCCCGGCGCCACGAGUGGUUAUCACGAUUAUUGGGCCUAAGGCGUUCGUAGCCGGUUUGGUAAAUCUCUUGUGAAAUUGUUCGGCUUAACCGGACAGCGUGCAGGAGACACUGCCAGACUCGAGACCGGGAGGCGUGUGAAGUAUGCCGUGGGGACUGGUAAAAUGGGAUAAUCCACGGUAGACUACCGAUGGCGAAGGCAUCACACGAGAACGGAUCUGACGGUGAGGAACGAAAGCUAGGGGAGCGAACCGGAUUAGAUACCCGAGUAGUCCUAGCCGUAAACGCUGCGAGCAAGGUGUCGCGCAUCUCACGAAGAUGCGCGGUGUCGAAAUGAAGAUGCUAAGCUCGCCGCCUGGGAAGUACGGUCGCAAGACUGAAACUUUA